AUUCCCAGUCAGCAAGGGCUUGGGAAGUGCAUACAGUUCCUGCUCCUGGUGUCUACUCUGAAGAGCACAGAGUAGACGUUUGUCUGCCAUUUCACCGGCAGUAAGAUCAGCAGCUGCUGGUGAGCAAAGAGGUAGUAGUGGGUCACUGGACUGGUGGGCGCCGGGGCCGCGCGCUAGAUGGAGAGGUCAGCGGCGAACCCAGCUCCAUGGCCUAGUCUCGUCAGACCGAGCGCGGACCCUGCCGGCCUCCGUUCUCUUCCGCUUGUCUCAGAUAUCAUCUCUUCUUUUGAUCACUGUUCCUGAUUGUGACAUUGUGCAAGUGUUAAAUUGUGUGCCUUUUGUUCCUGAAGAAAGAGGUCCUGGGAUCUUUGAAAUGCUAAGAUUCUUGGAUACCACAGUAUCAUAAAAUUCCUCUAAAUGCAUUGGUGCUAGCAAUCCCCUACUCUGUCUGGCCUCUGGAUCUAGCUUGAAGUUCUGGAUUCAUUUCCUUCUUCCUUGUACCUCAGCCUGAGCCUUCUGUCACCCAAAGGGCUCCAGCUGGUUUUUCACUCAGGCCUCACUUUAUCUUCCAAGAUGAAGGAACUGAGACACAGAGGUUGAGACUUGUCUAAAGUAACAUGACCAGUAAGUGCUUGAAUUAAUGCAGAUGAGGAAACUGAGGUCCAGAGAAGUUGAAGUUUUCCCAAGGUCACACAGCAGAGCUGGAACUAGAGCUUGCAUUUCCUGACUUCCAGAUUAGUGU
rnacentral:lncRNA from 1 species